UCGCUUUCCUGUCAGGGCCUGGCAGCCCGCGAGCAGCGCGGAACGAGGACGCUCGCCGCCCCGGCGCGACCCGGGGGUCACGUGGACGACGCUGCACUCCGUCGCGCGAACCCGCGGGCCUUUGAAGUUGCCCGAGUCGUCCUGACGGCAGAUCCCUCCGUGGAGGACUGAUGCUCUGCCAGCAGAGUAGGACGCCGUCGUUCCCUAGACUGCCCUUCGGGAUAAAAGCGACAGUCGUGCAGCGCAGCCCCAGGGCCGGGCUCCCGUCUGAGCGCGCCGCCAUUGUUCCCGUCGCCCCUCGAUGUUUCCACAGGCGCCGCGGUUUGCCGAGGGGAGGACCGAGCCGUUUGCGGAGGAAAAGUUGCGCUUUCCGCCGAGUCCAUCCGGAGAAGGCGGCCUGGUCUCCCGUCGCGUUUGCUUUUCCGUGGGAAGAACUGACGGGAGCCCAAGGACGACGCCGGCGUCCCAGUCGGCCUCAGGUCUACCUCCUGCUCCCUCCAGCGUCCGCCUCGAGGGCACGAGGAGGAGACGUGAGAGGCCCGCGCUGAGGAGACUGGGUCUGUCUUUGUCCGCACGGGGGCUCGGCUCGUCCCAAUUGUGUGACUUUGCGGGAUUCCCAGGAAAUAAAAGCCAGGGACAAAGCACCAGGAAGAUGACCCGGUCCACUUGAGCCUGGCCUGCUCCUCGCACCCCACCCCUCCCCCGCCAUCUGUGAGGGGACCCCGGGGGCGAGGGACGGCGAGCCUGGAAAGGACUUGGGCUGAGAGACGCGGAUACCUUUUGCAGCCUGAUAUUUUCUUCUCAGGCUCCUUUCUGAGGCAUAAUGAAGGCGCGUGUGUGUCGGCGAGUGUUCCCUCAGACGGUGCGACAAAGCAGAACACAAAAGCUGUCUCCUAGUACUUGGGGAUUAGUUGUCAGCCCUCCCCCCGCCCCCCUCCACCCCACUUUUUUUGCUUAAGGCAUUUCAAGUAUCAUCUGGUUAUUUGGUUAUUUCUGAGGAAUAAAGAAUAGCUGUGAACGGGAUGUUGUGGCAACAUCCAUGUUCAGCUGUGAUUUUAAUUGCUCGGAAGUGUGGAAACUCGGUUUUUCAGUUUCAGAACUCUGUCUCUUUCUGGCGCUGUCUCUCCAGGCUUCCUUUGAAUGGAGAGACCCCGCGUCCUUCUAGAAUAAAUCUGCAGCUCGAGAAUACACUCAGUCAGAGGUGGAUUUACCAUGAAUGAAUGAAGCUUAAGCUUUAGGGCCUCUCAUUUUGAAGGCUGCUUUCAAGGUCCUGAGAAGGAGCCUAGCAGUGUGUUCACAUGGUCACGUAUUUUUGUUAGAGUUUUUCUUAAAGCUACACGAAAGUUGUAAGUUUCAGUUCUUGGGCAAUGUCUGGCAGCAGAGUGAGUAAUUUCUUAUAAUUUCUUAUAAGCUGCCCAUCUCUAAAUGGUGGCAUAUAAAUUAGGUUAAUGUAGGAUAUUUUAGAGAGGGAUUUUUUUGGCAGUCACCAUUGUCCUCUCAAUAUGCAAAACACCAUUUAUUAUACUUGGAUUUGUCUUAAGGAAAGCAGCUGCAGAAGAUAGAAGAUUUUCUGGAGGGUUUCACAACGCUAACUAAUGAGGAAGAAAAUAAUACCUCAUAAUUCAUGACAGGAAGGGGCUGCCUCCUUGUUAUUUGUUGGGACAUUAGCUAUUGACAAAAGGACUGCAUGGCACAUCCUCCGGACCUUUUCUUCAGGACUGGGAGAAACGACAGGAAUGUUUGAAACGACGUAAGGGCCUUCGUAUUUCCUUUGCUCCUUUCAUCUUCCAUUUUUUUGGUGUGGCAAGUGUUGGGCCUGCAGGCUUCUUAUGGUUGGCUUUGGUGAGAGGUUCCGGAGGAGGAGGGAGCCCAGGAUUUGUAGGGCAGUCUCCCCUCAGGAGAGGGUCCAGGGGUAUCAUUGAGGCUCUGUGUUGCUUGAACUCCAGCUCUGGUCCUCCUAACCACAUCAUGAGGAAGCUUCCUGAAGCAGCGGGAGACACCAGACGUGUGAACUUCAUGUACCCCCGGAUUUAGUUAACAAGGUCCAUCCUAAGUGUGUUAAUUUACCCUGCUCUCUUUUUUCCUUGCUACUCUCUGUAUGUUUCAAAUUAAAUUGAUAAACCACGUGACUGGAA